CCCACUACGCGGGGCCGGCAUGGGUGGUUGGUUAGCAUCUUAAAUGUAUCUACCGGGCCUGUCAAAGCGGCAGCUGGUGCCAUUCAGCACUGGAAGUGCGUGUUCAGUGGGUCAGAUGUAGCACCACAUAUUUCCUCCCUCCUCACCUGUGCGAGCUGAAGCAGCUUGUCGCCAUGGAAGGCAUGGGGUUCUUCUUCAAAGAAUCUGUAGCAGGGUAAUUUUUUGAUAAGAAAUCCUAGCCCCUUUGAUUAGAAAAUACCUUUUUUGGCAUCGUGUGUUGUGCUAAUGGUUGAUUUGUGUGAAUGGCUUCCUUCCCAACCUCAAAUCCUAAGAAUCAGAUUUGGUUCUCGUUUGUUUAUGUAGGCUCGUGCCGCGCUUGGACGGAGGGAUUGUGUUGAGAUAUGCGGUUGCUCGCGCGGAGCUGACCGACGGCAGCACGAUUGGAACCGUUGAUGCAGAGGAUGGCUUGACUUCCUAUCAGUAGGUGUUAGGGGCUGGAUGUCGCGUUGGCUAUGGUGUGGGCGAGGAAACUGCUGAAAGGUUGAUCAGUGAAAGAGAUGCCGGCUCGAGUGGCCUUGGCGGCGAGGGGGUUGGUGAUUCCUGUGAUAUAGGCGACGCAAGGACUUCGUGUGACGCGGUGGGACAUGAUGCAGAUGAAGAGGGCGUUGGAGUGUGCAAUACGAAUGGAUCUUGUUGGACGAGAAGGUUAUUUUUCUCUCUUACUCAUGCUUGCACCAGUUUUUGUUUUUGUUCAUAAUUUUUUGAACUGCUGUACAUGUCUAUCGAUUUUAGUACACAUCUAGAUGCAAAAAACAAAUUAAGCUGUUUCAAUUGUUCUGAAAGUUGUUACCAACGUAUGCCUUUUUUCAUUUUAUGAGAAAGUAUAGUAUAACUGAAUUGUCUUUGAAAUAUCACCUCGUGUCUCGGGGGGGGGGGGGGGGUGGCCCCCCCCUUAGGUGGGCCUUAGGCCCNAAAACUUGCGGCGAGAGUUCAUCAAAAACUGUGAUUAACCAAAAAAAAAUUAGUCCGCUCAUUGUCUUAUUUUUUGGGGCUUGUUUAGAGUGCAAUUUGACAGAAUUCGUCCAAGGGUAAUAACAUGCCAUCGCGAUUGUGGCCGGUGGUUACAAAUACGCUUAAAGAUCAAAUUCGUCGUUCAUGGAGCAAAAUACCACUCCCUCCGUUCAAAAAUAAGUGACUCAAUUUUGUACUAAAGUUAGUGCAAACUUGAGUCUUUUUGAGUCACUUAUUUUGGGACGGAGGGAGUACAUCUCAUAGUUUGAUAAGUAGCGUAAAAAAUGAUUUGGUUGCAGCGCGCAACUUAGAUUCCUUGGUUUAUUUUUUUAAUUGUCUCCCUGGGUGGUUUGCUGUUGAUUUCAGGGUCAGUGUUGGCAAUGCAACACAUGAGAGGGAGCGAAGCGCAUGAGAGCGUGAGUUUGCCCAUGUUCAUCACUGUGGGUGAAAGCUGCUAGCACUGCAUGUCGACGGUGUUCAGCUGCGUGGCACGUCUGACCAGCGUGUCCUCGAGGCGUGCCCAACCUAAGAUGCAACUGUGUGAAAAUACGGAAUACGGUAUCGAGUGUGCACCCGUGAGAUCGAAUACAUGGCAUUUAGAGCAUCUCCAGCUUCGCGCCGCGCCCAAAAAAUGCGUUUGUCGCGCGCGCUUCGGCUGGUUUAGCGCGGGGUUAGGCGCUGCCUCCAGCAGCCGCGCUAUAAUGCAGCACGCGUGCCGCUCCAGCAAUGUCAAAAAAUGCAACGCGCGCACAUAUUUUUUAAUAAAUAUAUUGCAUUAAAAUAAAAAGGAUACAAAGUUAUUUUACAU
rnacentral:lncRNA from 1 species